AUGGCAAAGUUAUUUGAUGCAUCUGAGAAAGUAUAUCCUUACCUUAGGGAUUACCAUAGUCUGUUAUGGAUGAGGUGCAUGUUCAACCCUGCCAUCAAGUGUGACUACAUAAAUAAUAAUCUCGCCGAGUGCUUCAACGCUUGGGUGCGAGAAAUCAAGGACUUGCCGAUUGUUCAGCUAGCUGACAAGAUUAGAGAGAUGAUUAUGGAACUAUUUAGAAAAAGAAGAAUGAUUGGAGAAAACUCGAGGACUAGGUCAUCUCAAGGCUAA
rnacentral:rRNA from 1 species